GAGGGUGGGGGAAAAGGGUCAGAAGUCGCUUGUGGCCUUCGAAUCCGAAAGCAUUAUUCUAACUCGUCAUUUAGCCCUCCCUCGAGAUCACGGAAGUAUCUAGCCGUGUCCCACACAACUUUUUCUGUUUUGUUUUGCUCUAACAAAGAGUUGGAGUUUCAAUUGUUUUUCAAGACAAACACUACCUUUGGUAUUGGUUUUGAGAAAUAAUUUGUCAGAAUAUCUACUCUAUGCCAACAAGAGCACACUAUGGCCAAGCGAGUUGCAGUGAUUGGAGCUGGUGUGAGUGGCCUGUCUUCCAUCAAAUGCUGCUUAGAUGAGGACCUGGAGCCAACCUGCUUUGAAAGAAGUAAUGACUUCGGGGGACUGUGGAAGUUUACUGAAACUUCUGAAGAUGGGAUGACCAGGGUCUACAAGUCAUUAGUGACAAAUGUCUGCAAAGAAAUGUCAUGUUACAGUGACUUCCCCUUCCAAGAAGAUUAUCCCAAUUUCAUGAACCAAGAAAAAUUUUGGAACUACCUCCAAGAAUUUGCUGAGCACUUUGACCUUCUGAAAUACAUUCAGUUUAGGACCACAGUGUGCAGUGUAACAAAGUGUCCUGACUUCUCCAAGACUGGUCAGUGGGAUGUCGUCACAGAGACAGAGGGGAAGCAGUACAGAGCUGUCUUUGAUGCUGUCAUGGUUUGCACUGGACGCUUCCUGAAUCCCCAUUUACCUUUAGAAUCAUUUCCCGGAAUCUAUAGGUUUAAAGGGCAGAUCCUGCACAGUCAACAGUACAAGAGCCCAGAACGCUUUCAGGGCAAACGCAUCUUAGUGAUUGGUCUUGGAAACACUGGAGGAGACAUUGCAGUGGAGCUCAGUCGAACAGCAGCUCAGGUACUUCUCAGUACUAGAACUGGUACCUGGGUUGUCAACCGCUCUUCAGAUGGGGGCUACCCAUUUAAUAUGAUGAUUACAAGAAGACACCAUAAUUUUGUUGCACAAGUUCUGCCUUCAUGUGUACUAAAAUGGAUUCAAGAGAAGCACUUGAAUAAAAGAUUUGACCAUGCAAAUUAUGGAUUAAGUAUUACAAAGGGGUAUUUGAUUUUUUUGUUUAAUGGUAAAUGUAUUGAAUCAGUAUUUCUCAUCCUAUUUUAUUCAGAAUUCAAAAUGUUCAAUAAUUGCCUUUGUUUAAUCCUGUUCUAAGCUUAUUUUCUUUAGAAUGUCCAUCAAUACCACAGCAGUUCUUAAAAAUAGGAGUAUUCUGUCUGGUAAAAAAAGUAAUAAUUCAUGAGGCUAGAAGAAAAUGAAGAAUGAAAACUUUAUUUCAAGUUUUCAAAUCAAGAAACUUAAACUGGGAGUUCCCGUCGUGGUUAAUGAAUCCGACUAGGAACCACGAAGUUGAGGGUUCGAUCCCUGCCCUUGCUCAGUGAGUUAACGAUCCGGCGUUGCGGUGAGCUGUGGUGUAGGUCGCAGACGCGGCUCUGGCAUAGGCUGGUGGCUGCAGCUCCGAUUAGACCCCUAGCCUGGGAACCUCCAUAUGCCGUGGGAGCGGCCCAAGAAAAGACAAAAAAACAAAAAACAAAAAAACAAACAAACAAAAAAAAGAAACUUAAACUGGCCUUGAGGAAUCUCAGGAUGGCUGCCAGCUACAUCUCCAAUUCAACCCCUAGCCUGGGAACUUCCAUGUGCUGCUGGUGUGGCCCUUAAAAAAAAAAAAUGAGAAGCAAGAAAUCCAAUAGAAAACUGGACAAAGAAUUAGAAUAGGCAAAUUACAGAAGGAGGAAUCUGAAUGUCUAAAAAGAAAAAAGAAGAAAAGAAAAGAUGCUCAAACUCUCUAUUGAUCAAAAAUGAAAAAACCAAAAAGAAUUGUGAAUGAUGAGCUGCCAACCUGUAUCCUCUGUGGCACAGUCACUAUGAAAACCAGCGUGAAGGAGUUUGCAGAAAACUCUGUUCUCUUUGAAGAUGGGACCAUGGAAAGAAACAUUGACAUUGUGAUCUUUGCUACAGGAUAUACCUUUUCUUUUCCUUUUCUUGAAGAGCCUCUCAAAAGCCUUUGUACAAAGAAGAUAUUUCUAUACAAACAGGUCUUUCCCUCAAACCUAGAGAGGACAACACUUGCCAUGAUUGGCUUCAUUGGCCUUACAGGAUCCAUCUUAGCAGGAACAGAGCUCCAAGCACGAUGGGCUACACGAGUAUUCAAAGGACUCUGUAAGCUGCCUCCAUCUCAGAAAUUGAUGGCUGAGGCUAUGCAAAAGGAGCAGCUCAUAGAAAGGGGUUUGAUGAAAGAUACCAAGGAAGACAAACUUGACUACAUUUCCUACCUGGAUGACAUCGCUGCUUGCAUAGGUGCAAAGCCCAAUGUCCCACUUCUGUUCCUUAAGGAUCCCAGACUAGCUUGGGAAGUUUUCUUUGGACCAUGUACUCCUUACCAGUAUCGCCUAAUGGGCCCUGGGAAAUGGCAUGGAGCCAGAAAUGCCAUCCUGACUCAGUGGGACAGGACACUGAAACCCUUGAAAACACGAAUAGUUCCUGAUUCCUCCAGGCCUGCCUCCUUGUCACAUUAUUUGAAAGCUUGGGGGGUACCUAUCCUGUUUGCCUCCUUUCUACUGAUCCAUAAAUCUUCACUUUUUUUGAAAUUGGUGCCAGAAAAACUAUAGGACAAAAUUUCCCCUUACCUAAUAAGUAUUUGGUGAGGAUUAGUUGAUGGAUUAUAAGGGUUUUACCAAGUCAUAUUCACUCUUGUCCCCAAACAUCUUGCAUUUUCCUCCUCUCCAUUGUAACUGCUAUCAGCCAAGUUCAGGUCUAACCACCUCUUACCUGAACUAUUGUACUAUCUUCUCCUUUAGUCUCAGCACUUCCUUUCUUAUCUCCUUUUCAAUUCAUAUUCUACUCUGCUACCUAAGCAAUCAUUCUAAAAUAAAAAUAUUGUCUUUGUUUCCCUCAAGAUCCCCAUGGGAGUAAGAUAAAACUCAGAUAAAUUGUGCAAUAAUUUUUGAUUUAAUUUUUGAUGUAAAAAUUAUGUCCAAUGGUUUGGGCAGAAUGUAGGGAAAUUGUAACAGUGAGGUGCUUUUACCAUCUUGUAGGCCUAAUGAGGCAAGAGGAAAAAACAAUUAUGAAUAAGAGAGAGAGAAAUUAUGUCAAGAGGACUGCCUCUCAAGAGCUAUGACCAUCAGCUGACCAAUAAAAGCAGUUCAUGGUGAUCCCAAAAGUACAGAGCUUGGGAAAUAAAUUGCCUAAUCUUACUCUCUUCCCUCCCUCUGAUCCUCUGCUCAUGCUCCGCAAUGGCCUGAUCCAACCAAACUCAACGGCAAGGUUGCUGACUAUUGUGGAUUGAAUUACAGCAAACCCCCCCGCUCACCCGGCAAGAUAUAUUCAAAUCCUAACCCCUGGUACCUGUGAAUGUGACCUUAUUUGGAAAUAGGAUCUUUGCAAAUGUAUGUAAGUUAAGAGGCGAUCAUACCAAAGCAGGGUGAUCUAGAUCCAAUAUGACUGCUGUCCUUGUAAGAAGAGCAUCAGACAGAGACACAUAGUGGAGAAUGCCAUGUGAGUUUAAGAAGAGGGUAGAGUGAUGCAUCUACAAACAGGAUCACCAAGCAAGCAAACACUGGAAGCUAGGAGAGAGUCAUGGAACAGAUUCUCCCUCAAAACCUCUAGAGAGAACAACCCUACCAACAACAACUUCAGACUCCUAGCCCUCAGAGCUGUGAAAGAAUAAGCCACUCAGUUUGUGGUACUUUGUUACAACAAUCCUAGGAUACCAAUACACUCGCUGAUGUUGUCCCUGGAGAUCAGCUUCCUAAGCCACCCAGCAGAGCAAAGAUGACAGAGAAUAUAUAUUAAAGAGCAACCAGAAAGGAUCCAGUGCAGACAUGUUCCCAUCAAACUUAAAAAUCUUUUAAAGUUUCUCUCUUGAUUAAAGAUAGUAAAUUCCUUAACUUGAAAGAGGAGACUCUUCAUGAUCUGAGUCCCUUUGCCCAGGUCACCAGAAUCCUGCCCUGCAGUCUCCCCUCCUCUUCAAACCCUACAUCCAGUUCCACCAAAUAUGAACUGUGUGGUACCUCCUUACUUAGGCACAAGCUAUUUCCUCUUUCAGCCACUUAAAUCCACACCUGACUGUCUUUCAAGAUAGAGCUUAAUAAUCUCCCUCAGUGAAGCCGCCCCUGAAUCCCCAAAGCAAAUUUGACUGCCGUUUUGUAAUGAUCACACCUCAUGUAUUAGUAUGUUCUUUCCUUACUAUAGAAUCAUUUUCUUUUUGUGUCUAUCUCCUAAUGAACAGUGCAUUCUUGAGAGGAAUCAUAUCUUGUUCAGCUAAAACACUGACUGAUAAAGACUGCAAAAUAAAUAUUUGUUGACUGAA